rnacentral:rRNA from 1 species
CAGCCGCCGCGGGAAAACGGAGGGUGCAAGCGUUAAUCGGAAUUACUGGGCGUAAAGCGCACGCAGGCGGUUUGUUAAGUCAGAUGUGAAAUCCCCGAGCUUAACUUGGGAACUGCAUUUGAAACUGGCAAGCUAGAGUCUUGUAGAGGGGGGUAGAAUUCCAGGUGUAGCGGUGAAAUGCGUAGAGAUCUGGAGGAAUACCGGUGGCGAAGGCGGCCCCCUGGACAAAGACUGACGCUCAGGUGCGAAAGCGUGGGGAGCAAACAGGAUUAGAGACCCGCGUAGUCCCUGUCUCUUAUAC